rnacentral:RNase_MRP_RNA from 3 species
UGGAUUAGGGGAGAUGUGACUGGGCCUAUGCUUAUAGCUGGGCUUAGGAAAGUCCCCGGGCCCAUACUGCAGAAAUGCAGGCCCUGCAAGGGGUCACUACGAGCUGAACUUGCGGCUGAGACAUGUGUGGAGCCUAUGCUUGUUCUGCCGUAGUAAUUGGCCAAUUUCUCACAGUCAUCCACAUGGUCACCAUGACUAACAGAACGGGGCUUACUCCCUCCUAAUCC